AUUAGAGUUUGAUCAUGGCUCAGAAUGAACGCUGGCGGCAUGCCUAACACAUGCAAGUCGAACGAAGGCUUCGGCCUUAGUGGCGCACGGGUGCGUAACGCGUGGGAAUCUGCCCUCAGGUUCGGAAUAACAGCGAGAAAUUGCUGCUAAUACCGGAUGAUAUCGCGAGAUCAAAGAUUUAUCGCCUGAGGAUGAGCCCGCGUAGGAUUAGCUAGUUGGUGUGGUAAAGGCGCACCAAGGCGACGAUCCUUAGCUGGUCUGAGAGGAUGAUCAGCCACACUGGGACUGAGACACGGCCCAGACUCCUACGGGAGGCAGCAGUGGGGAAUAUUGGACAAUGGGCGAAAGCCUGAUCCAGCAAUGCCGCGUGAGUGAUGAAGGCCUUAGGGUUGUAAAGCUCUUUUACCCGGGAUGAUAAUGACAGUACCGGGAGAAUAAGCUCCGGCUAACUCCGUGCCAGCAGCCGCGGUAAUAAUC
rnacentral:rRNA from 1 species